rnacentral:rRNA from 1 species
UACGUAGGGUGCAAGCGUUGUCCGGAAUUAUUGGGCGUAAAGAGCUCGUAGGCGGUCUGUCGCGUCGGCUGUGAAAACCCGGGGCUCAACCCCGGGCCUGCAGUCGAUACGGGCAGACUAGAGUGUGGUAGGGGAGACUGGAAUUCCUGGUGUAGCGGUGAAAUGCGCAGAUAUCAGGAGGAACACCGAUGGCGAAGGCAGGUCUCUGGGCCACUACUGACGCUGAGAAGCGAAAGCGUGGGGAGCGAACAGG